rnacentral:rRNA from 1 species
AGUGAACGCUGGCGGUAGGCCUAACACAUGCAAGUCGAACGGAAGCACAGUAAGCGUUCGCUCUUAAGGGUGGCGACUGGCGGACGGGUGAGAAAUACAUCGGAAUCUUCUUUUUCGUGGGGGAUUUCGUAAGGCAACUUCCGAUACCACAGAAUAUGUUCUACGGGUGGAUUCAGUAGUGAUUGGCACCUUUGGUGUCACUAUGAGCCGGUGCCGGAUUAGCUAGUUGGCAGGGUAAAGGCACACCAAGGCGACGAUCCGUAGCUGGUCUGAGAGGAUGAUCAGCCACACUGGAACUGAGACACGGUCCAGACUCCUACGGGAGGCAGCAGUGGGGAAUAUUGGGCAAUGGGCGCAAGCCUGAUCCAGCCAUACCGCGUGAGUGAAGAAGGUCUUCGGGUCGUAAAGCCCUGUUAUUAGGAAAGAACAGAUGCAUAAGUAAACCCCGCUGUUCUGACGGUACCCAAAGAAAAAGCACCGGCUAACUUCGUG